ensembl:lncRNA
GGCGACUCGAAGUCAGAGUGCAAGCAGUAUUUGGUUUAGGCAAAGAGCUGGACGCGUAACUGCCUCUAAGCUGAAACAAGUUCUUAAGACCAACCCCCAGCAACCAUCAAAGAGCUUGAUCAAGGCCAUAUGCUAUCCAGAGGCAUAUAGGUUCACCACAGCUGCUACAAGUUAUGGAUGCAAACAUGAAGCACAAGCCAGAGGAGCAUAUGAGAAGCUUAUGAGCCAGGAGCAUGCAGGCUUCUCAUGUAUGGACAGCGGUCUCUGGCUGAACCCCAAGUGGCCAUACAUGGGGUCCUCCCUGAUGGGAUAGUCACUUGUGACUGUCAUGGAACUGGC